rnacentral:misc_RNA from 1 species
GAUGCUAUUAACAAGGGCUCUCACUGUGCCAUGGUGAGUGGAAAUCAAGAAUGCCUAGUUCGGCAGUAAAGGACUAAAGGUUUGGCUUUGAUGAGCAGACCAGCAAUGUCUCAUAAAAUAUGUUAGUGUGGCAUAUGAAGUAUUGAAUAUUAUUAGUACUUGAGUGAAUUCAGGCAGUAGCCUAAAUAAGCAAGCUAGGCUUGAGUUGUCAACCUAGUUUUGCCACCUUGUAGUACCCAUUCAUGUUUGUGUAUUCAGCACUGUUUUUGUGUUGUUUGUUCAGCAACGCUGAUUC